rnacentral:rRNA from 1 species
GACGAACGCUGGCGGCGUGCUUAACACAUGCAAGUCGAACGGAAAGGCCCUGCUUUUGUGGGGUGCUCGAGUGGCGAACGGGUGAGUAACACGUGAGUAACCUGCGCUUGACUUUGGGAUAACUUCAGGAAACUGGGGCUAAUACCGGAUAGGAGCUCCUGCUGCAUGGUGGGGGUUGGAAAGUUUCGGCGGUUGGGGAUGGACUCGCGGCUUAUCAGCUUGUUGGUGGGGUAGUGGCUUACCAAGGCUUUGACGGGUAGCCGGCCUGAGAGGGUGACCGGCCACAUUGGGACUGAGAGACGGCCCAGACUCCAACGGGAGGCAGCGGUGGGGAAUAUUGCACAGUGGGCGGAAGCCUGAUGCAGCAACGCCGCGUGCGUGAUGACGUCCUUCGGGUUGUAAACCGCUGUCGCCUGUGACGAAGCGUGAGUGACGGUAAUGGGUAAAGAAGCACCGGCUAACUACGUG